UUGACGCUAUAUUAUUAUCUCUGCACGAUAUUACACUUUUACCAAGACUUUUACACAAUGAUGAUGGUCUUCGGUUUUGCGUGUCUCUGUCGCUGUUCUUUAUUGCGAUAUUUCACCAUGUUGUCAUAUUUAUUUUCGCAAGAGGUUAGCUCAGAUUUCUUGUCCGUCUUUUACUACAAUUUCGCGAAAAUGUUUACAUAAAAUUUGCUAAUUUCUCAGCUAAUAAAUAUUUUACUUAAUAGUGUGUGAGUUACAGUACUGAAGUAGAAUCGGACAUAAACAGUAGCACAAAGUAUUCUCCAUCAGUAAGCAGACCUAGUUUUUAAGCACGUUUCAAUUUUUGUCAACUGAUCCCAGAUACUGAUCCAAUCGUCAGGAAUAAAUUUUCCACUAUUCGUCCCCCCACCAUGAAGCAGGUAUUUAUGGCCCCGUGUACGCUAUUCGCUAACAAAAUGCACAUGCAAUCAAUAUCGAUACCUGGUUCGUAUCGGAUGCCUUGUUGAUCAACCCCCGGUCGUACUAUCUGGAUAUCUUUAACUGGAAAAUACUCCGGAUAUCUUUGGCACAGACACCGAUGGUGCCGUGGUUUAGAAAGUAUAAUAAAAUCGAUGUGCAGGAUGCAAAACAUGAAAAAGCAUGCGAAGCAACCGAUCCGCAAUACUCUGAUUCUUGCUUCGUAUCUUAGUGAGUUGAAGUCUAAAGGGAGCAUCAACAAUGUGGACGAUAUUCAGUUCCUGUACACUAUGUACUAUGUAGUUGACGUUGUGAAUGAACGGAGAAAACUUGCUGGCCGUAUAGCAGUUUGACCGGACAUCUGCACGAUGGUUGAUCUGUCGCCGAAUAUUGAACUAAGUACAUUCAGUCAUUUGAAGGGUGAGCAGUUUACAGUUAGAUUGCUUACAAGCGAGUAUUAGUUUAUUGAUUUACCUCAAUCAGAGCGUUCUGCUUUAAGCGAAUAGCCUUAACAGUAUUGUGAGGAACCUCUCCCAACAUAAGCAUUGAUUUCAGCACCACAAAUACGCUUUUCAUGGCCAACGAUUCAUCAGGGGUACGUGAAGAUGAAAAUGGUGGUGAUUAGGUAUUCUCCAGCUGGCCGUAAAUGUGCGCCUACCCUCUGCGAAAAUUAUUUCUAGCCAUACACGUGCAUGCUGGAGAAUUUCUGUACAGGGGGUCCUUUUUUGAGCAUGGACCAAUUGUAGUGCCAUCUCGUUAUUCAGAUCUGUUUUUCAAUAGAAUCUUCUAUUGCACUAAUUCUUUCUUGAAUGUAUUUUUUUAUUAUUAGUUUUUUAAUUAAUCGACCAUUAAUUAUUUUCUAAAAUGUAUUCCUAGUUACCAGAUUUUAUGAAUAAUCUCUUCGGCCGAUUUCAACAGCUUCAACAGGGUGUUGCACUAGUGGCAGAUCACUUAGAUGCAUUUUUAAAAUUUAUGAUGAUCACUUAGAUGCAUUUUUAAAAAUCAGCUAAAUUAAGGUUCAAGUAACCUUUUUGAGCAUGUGUUAGAUUUGAACGCUGGGUAGUAUGGGUAGGAAAAAAUGUGUUCAGCUUUGCCACCGGAUUAUCCGUUUAAACCUUUUCAAAACUCUAAACUCUAAAAGAAGAAUAUCAGCUGAUUUAUUAGGUCACAACGAUUCAAAUCAUACAAAAUAGCUGCUGGAAAAACUAUCGGUUACGCUAAAUGGUGCUUUUGAAAAAGUGGCUGUGAUUUUUUGUCGCUACCACUCCUGAACAUGCCCUAAAGUAAUUGCCAAAGGGGCCGUUCAUAAAUUAUGUCGCGUAUUUACAGUUAAGGAAGAGCGUGACGUAACAUGAAUUAUCGAGAUAUAAAAUAAAAAUUUUGACGGACAUGUGAUUGGGGUUCGGAAGUCGAAUGUCGGAGUUCACUUGGGGGGUGUUCUGGAGAAGCCUUUGUUAUCCAGGCAUGGUUCUGUGGUUAUUCCGUGUAGUGCGUAAGUUUUGCUGAAUUGACAGUGGACCACAUAAUUGAUGUCCAAGUGCCCGACCUGAUUAUAUUGGGAUAUGCUAGUAUGGCCGUAGUGCCCUAGCGGAUAUAUGCUCAAAUGACUACAUACAAAUAUUUUAAACUUAUUUGUUCGAAGGAUGUCUGUUCUCUGUGACUUAGCUAUAUUUUAAAAUUUUAUUAUCGAACAAAAUGAUCAUUAAUACAUACUAGAAUAGGAUAAUUAGUAGAAAAGUUGCGGGGAAAUUAAUAUUCGUGGAUAUUAUGGUUAACAGCACUCUUUUAUUUACUUAAUAGUCGAUUGAUCCGUUUCAGACCUAGGGGACCCACUUAAGAGGAGAUCAGGAAGAAUACAAGAACGGAAUUAAUACGAAGUUUUAAUUGCAUCACUGACGACUUAGCACGCGUUGUUAGAAGCAGGAUACAUUGGACUAGACAAAAUAGAGGACUUGAAGAUACCCACUUCGCGACAAACAGGCGCAAAAUGUAGUCCUCCUCCCGAGGACCGGUGUUUCCUUGGCAGACAGUUGCUAAUUCGUCCGAUUUUGCAAAUUUUGUCUCGCGGGACGGACCGAGAUCCGCUAAGCUAUGAGCUACAGUCCUAUCAGCCCGCUAACAAAAAGUAGUGUCUCAGGACAAUUUAGUCAGGAAAUCAAGAGUUGUCCAAUUAGAUCGAUUAGCUUGGGAUACUUUCACUAUGCGGCACAAGCCCAGCCGGAAAUGAUCCAGAAAGCUGGCUGGAUCUAGUUAGUAAACCGGCUCCAGUGUCACAACCGACUCUAGCUAGAAUUGGUUGUGUCACUGGAGCCGGAAUGCGAACUGCAACCAGUCAGUAUUCUGGCUCAUUUUCCGGCUGAAUUUAACUGGGAACUUUCAAAGAACUUGAGGAUGUAAAGUACUACACGCUGAUGAAAGGUCUAUUUAGGAUUUACUUGCUAGGCGGCGCUAGUGAGUAUAUAAUUUUUCAGCAAAAAGUGAUGAUUUUUGCAGUUCUUCUAGUGUGAAAAAUCUCAGGAAUCAAACGAAUUUAUUGCGAUCUUAUUUAGAAUAAGCACAGAUAACAGACGUUUAGGCUAGAACAAAAUGUCUUCAAAAACCUGUGUAAACUUUCAAAUUGAUAUACGUUGAAAAUCCGUGUUUCACUAUUGCCAUCUGCGCAACUGUUGGCUACACGUGUUUGACAGCUGCACUCUAACUGCAUUGUAGUGAUCACUGCGCCAUCUGCAAACGUUUGCCAAACAUGUUUCAGACAUCUGAUUUAUUCGGAAUUUCAGUAGCGGGUAUUUACACACGAUUCAAAUCGAGCCUAAACGUCUGUUAUCUGUGGAAUAAGUUAAGGUUCUAUAGCAUUUUGUCAUUCAUAUAAAAUUUGAUGAUUUUGCCAUGCAUAUAUUUUUCAAUCAUUUUUUAUAAAAUGUACGUUGUUGAACGUGGAACAUCCUCAGGAACAAGUUGGAAGUAGAUUUGUUAUUCGUGAAAUUCAGAAACAUAAUUUUUUGACAUUUAGGGCUGAUUUCUUCACUCUCGCUUAGUGCUUAAGCCAGGUUUAAACGUACUGGUGAACCUGGUUUAAAAGUUAAGCGAGAGUGAAGAAAUCGGCCAUUAGUGUCAGAACUCCUUAUUUUUUUAACAAAUUGCACAUCAAUUCCAUUUAAUAAUAAAUUAUUUAAUUUCCUGUUUCUUGCGUAAAAACGCUUAGGCAUCAUUUGAUAGAAGUUUAAUAUCAGGAAAAAUUAGGGAUGUUCGAGAAUUAGGGAAAAAUGUGGUUUUCAGACUAAAUGUAAAAAAAACUAAUGUUUGUCAAUUUUACCGAUAAUCUACCUCCAUUUUGUUUCUAAAGAUCUCAAACUUUCAGCAAGGUACAUUUGAUAAAAAUGUUUGAAUAAUAAUACAGUAGCAUUGAUAUGAACAUAUAGACGAAUUAAAUGACACGCCAAAUAAAUUACGAGCUAUUUAAAAAAAUAAUUGAAAUCUGUCGAAAGCUUUUUCGGCAUUUAGUCACCAUAAAUAUUUUUGGAAAACAUGAUUUCGAGAUAAUCAUGUUUAAUGUUUCAUGUCACGUACCACGCCUCCGUAAGGGAGCAAGAUGAAAAACGUUUUUACUUCGCUUCUACUGCUUGCUUCUCUAUACAAAUUUGGUAUAUCAUUCUCAAGAACCAAUACUUUAAGAUAAAAGUAAAAAAAAAUCAAUUUUUGAUCGACCUCAACAUAUAUUUGAUCACUUAACUAAGUUUUAUAUUUGCUUGUUUCUAUUCACUUUAGAAAUAAUAACUCUUCAAUGUAGGUUACAACCACAAAGAACAAUUGAUCGAACAAAAAUAUUUAAAAAACGUGUGUAAACAUUUGAAUUAAUAUACGAUAAACGCUAGCGCCGCCACACCAACCUAUCCCAACUAUCCGUCAAAUCCAUUCCGGAACCGGUUCGAAAUCCUGAAUGGAUUCAGUAUGGAAUCUUGCUCAAAGAAAACAACCGAUUCCGUCUCAAUCGGUUGAUACAUUUGAGCUGGAAUUCAUGCUGGAAGUCCGAACCGGUUCCGGACUAGUUUAACUGGGUAGAGGAAUAACCGCUGUCAAUCCUGUCGGACUCAGCCACAAAAAAAACAUGACGACAGUAGCACACCUGGUUCGGAUAUCCCAACUACCUUCGAAACCGUUAGAGAUUUUACACAAGUUGAAUGCAGGAGAUGGACGUCUGUUCUCUGUGUUACAACCAUGCCAGCUCACCUCCUAGUGGUUGUAGGUCAGCUGAGCUGAAGUGUAAAAAGCUUUUAAAAAAUUUCAAUUCACUGCUUCCUAUCAUAUCAAACUUGCACACUCAGAAUAGAACAGAAGAUGCAUAUGAUAAUUUUAGUACAUGGGGCGAGCAAAGCUUGAUUGGUAAGUCGAUUGCCUUGUACGCUGCUCUCCUGGGCUCGAUUCUCAACCCCGCGCAUAGGGUUAGGAAUUUUUCUAACUCAACAAAGAGGCAAAUGACUGAAUGUUUCAAAUAAAUAAUUGAAACAAAAAAUUAGAAUUACAUUCGAAAUAUUUUAA